UGUAUGUAUAUGUAUAUGUAUAUGUAUAUGUAUAUAAUAAUUUUAAAGUAUUGCUUCUACUUAAAUCCUAUUUAGGUAUCUUUACGAGAAUAUCCUUUAAAAAAAAGGGCCGGUGGCCUAUAAAGCUCGACCGAUCUUCCUCUUUAAUAUUAUCUAUUUUUUUCCCUCUAUGAGGCUUGGCUUAUGAGCCUUUGGUAUGUAGGAAAAAAAAAUCCAUAGAGAUUGAUUUGUUUAUAAAUAAGACUGCAAAUGGGUCAGAUUGAUCCAUGAACUGAUCCGAUCCGACAUGCAUAAACCCAUUUCAAACUAUUUUGAAAGAUCUAUGG
rnacentral:lncRNA from 1 species